ensembl:lncRNA novel transcript
AGUUCCGGGCGCUUUGCCGGGCGUUAAUGGCGGCCAACAUCGCCGGUGCUGCGGCUUUCUCCCUAAAGUGUCACAGGAGCUAAGGGCGCUGCUUAACGAACUGCAGAAGACGCAGGCAGGUGAAGGACACCGGUUCUGCUGCGGCAGUGGAAUGUGGCGGAGAAGCUGGCGGGUAGGGCGGGGAGCAAGCCUGGAGGUCCUGGCGGACCCCACCAUUCGACAGGGCUUGGUGUGUUAUUGCUUCUAGGCCUUUUCAGCGGACAGAACUGGGAUGGAUACACACAUGCUUAUUUGAAAUCAUGCGUUUGUUCCAUACUCCAAUGUCAGCCCACCCCUUCUUUGCCCAAGUUGCUCUAUGGUCAAGUGAGCGAGAGCAGGUGCCUGCAUUUCCAGCCUCGUGGCUCACCGCCUCCUUCCAGUAGUCCCAUGUUGCUUCACACCUCUUAAGUACAUGUACUUCUGUGAACCCAGAGCCUUGGCUUUGAAAUCAGACAACCCCAGUUUCAAACGUGGCGCUGCCACUCACGAGUUUUGUGAUUUUGGCAUACCCCUGUCUGCAUGGGGAUAAUAACUUCUAUCUCCAUAGGUGUGGUGAGGAUAAAAGUCUAUGCAUGGAGGAAAUGUUCAUUCAGUGGUAGCUAUUUCUAAUUCUGUUCUUCUGGACCUAUGAUUCUAUCUACGAUGCCUCAUUUUUUUUCCUUUUUAAUCAAUUGGCAAACUUGUGCUCUGAGACCCAGCUUGUUACAUCUCUGAUGACAGCUGAUAUCCUCAGGAUAUUCCGUACUUCCUUUCUCCCUAUUACUUUACUAUGAAUAUAUGAAUAACAUUGUGCUUAUUGCAUGCAACAAAUAUUUAUUAGAUGAAUGACAUUAAAAUUCACCUUUAAAAUGCCAUCCUUUAUGAGAGGUGAGAAAUAGAACUUUUCCUUCGACAUGGCUGUACAUGUUCAACAACUAGAAUAAAACAGUCAUCAUGAACCCUCAA